rnacentral:misc_RNA from 1 species
UAAAUAUUUAAUUAUUUUAAUUUAAUCUUAUUUUUAUACUUUGACUGAGACUAAU